AUGGAUGUCCUGUCAACUCACCACUCACUACCCCACACCACUCAUGAGUCUUCUUCCUCCUCCGCCAUUGAUCAAGAAAAGCUUCAGCUAUCAGCAAUGGAGCCCAUCCCUCUCCUCACGCCGUACAAGAUGGGCCAGUUCGACCUCGCCCACAGGGUGGUUCUGGCGCUGCUGACGAGGCAGCGCUCCUAUACGCCGGCCGUGUACUACUCCCAGCGCGCCACCGCCGGCGGCCUGCUCAUCGCCGAGGCCACAGUGGUCUCCGACACGGGGCGGGGCUACACCCACACCCCAGGGAUCUGGACCGCGGAGCAUGUCGAGGCGUGGAAGCCCAUUGUCACCGCCGUGCAUGCCAAGGGCGCGCUCUUCUUCUGCCAGAUCUGGCACGUCGGCCGUGUGUCCACCUUCGAGCUGCAGCCCGGCGGGGCCGCGCCGCUGUCGAGCACGGAGAAGGGGGUCGGCCCGCAGAUGACCUUCGACGGCCGGCUAGAGGAGUUCUCGCCGCCGAGGAGGCUGACGGUGGAAGAGAUACCUGCCAUCGUCGACGACUUCAGGAAGGCCGCCAGGAACGCCAUCGACGCCGGUUUUGAUGGCGUGGAGAUCCACAGUGCAAACGGGUACAUCAUUGAGCAGUUUCUCAAGGAUAGUGCCAAUGACCGCACCGACGAGUAUGGUGGCAGUCUUGAGAACCGGUGUCGGUUCGCUCUUGAGGUGGUCGAUGCUAUUGUGAAGGAGGUCGGUGGCCAUCGUGUGGGAAUCCGUCUCUCCCCUUUCGCCGACUACAUGGACUGCCACGACUCUGACCCCCACUCUCUUGCGCUCUACAUGUCUACAAAGCUCAACGACCAUGACAUCCUCUACAUCCACAUGAUCGAGCCGAGGAUGGCUGUUGUGGACGGCCGGCGGGUGGUGUCGAAGCGGUUGCUGCCGUACAGAGAGGCGUUCAAAGGUACCUUCAUCGCCAAUGGUGGGUACGACCGUGAGGAAGGGGGCAAGGUGAUCGUCGAGGGGUACACUGACCUUGUGGCCUUUGGCAGACUAUUCCUAGCGAACCCAGACCUGCCAAAGCGGUUUGAGAUUGGUGCGGAUCUGAACAAGUAUGAUAGGAUGACCUUCUACUCCCCUGACCCCGUCAUUGGCUAUACCGGCUACCCCUGCCUCGAAUGA
rnacentral:rRNA from 1 species